UCUGAUUCAGCGGCGGACGGGUGAGUAACACGUGGGCAACCUGCCUGUAAGACUGGGAUAACUUCGGGAAACCGGAGCUAAUACCGGAUAACUCACGAGACUACAUGGUCUUAUGAUAAAAGAUGGUUUCGGCUAUCACUUACAGAUGGGCCCGCGGCGCAUUAGCUAGUUGGUGAGGUAACGGCUCACCAAGGCGACGAUGCGUAGCCGACCUGAGAGGGUGAUCGGCCACACUGGGACUGAGACACGGCCCAGACUCCUACGGGAGGCAGCAGUAGGGAAUCUUCCGCAAUGGACGAAAGUCUGACGGAGCAACGCCGCGUGAGCGAUGAAGGCCUUCGGGUCGUAAAGCUCUGUUGUUAGGGAAGAACAAGUAUCAGUUAACUACUGGUACCUUGACGGUACCUAACGAGAAAGCCACGGCUAACUACGUGCCAGCAGCCGCGGUAAUACGUAGGUGGCAAGCGUUGUCCGGAUUUAUUGGGCGUAAAGCGCGCGCAGGCGGUUCUUUAAGUCUGAUGUGAAAGCCCCCGGCUCAACCGGGGAGGGUCAUUGGAAACUGGGGAACUUGAGUGCAGAAGAGAAGAGCGGAAUUCCACGUGUAGCGGUGAAAUGCGUAGAGAUGUGGAGGAACACCAGUGGCGAAGGCGGCUCUUUGGUCUGUAACUGACGCUGAGGCGCGGAAGCGUGGGGAGCAAACAGGAUUAGAUACCCUGGUAGUCCACGCCGUAAACGAUGAGUGCUAAGUGUUGGAGGGUUUCCGCCCUUCAGUGCUGCAGCUAACGCAUUAAGCACUCCGC
rnacentral:rRNA from 1 species